rnacentral:rRNA from 1 species
GACGAACGCUGGCGGCGUGCCUAAUACAUGCAAGUCGAACGAACCGCGACGGACUGCUUGCACUUGGUCAAGGAGAGUGGCGAACGGGUGAGUAACACGUGGGUAACCUACCUCAUAGGGGGGGAUAAAAGUCGGAAACAACUGCUAAUACCGCAUAGGACAUAGUGUCACAUGAUCCAGUGAGUAAAGGUGGCGCAAGCUAUCGCGAAUAGAUAGACCCGCGGUGCAUUAGCUAGUUGGUAGGGGAAAGGCCUACCAAGGCGAUGAUGCAUAGCCGGCCUGGGAGGGUGAUCGGCCACAUUGGGACUGAGACACGGCCCAGACUCCUACGGGAGGCAGCAGUAGGGAAUUUUCAGCAAUGGACGCAAGUCUGACGGAGCAACGCCGCGUGAGUGAAGAAGGUCUUCGGAUCGUAAAGCUCUGUUGUUCGGGAAGAACAGCGUAUCGCUAAACUGCUAUGGGUAUGACGGUACCGAAAGAGAAAGCCCCGGCUAACUACGUG